UUUUAGCCCUGAUUGAAGCGGCAUCCUUUUGCGGCGCAAAGCAGAGCAAAAGAUAGAGCUGAAAGCAGGUUCCCGG
rnacentral:sRNA from 2 species